GGUUAGAGUUUGAUCCUGGCUCAGAUUGAACGCUGGCGGCAGGCUUAACACAUGCAAGUCGAGCGGUAACAGGUCCAGCUUGCUGGAUGCUGACGAGCGGCGGACGGGUGAGUAAUGCAUAGGAAACUGCCCAAUAGUGGGGGAUAGCCCGGGGAAACCCGGAUUAAUACCGCAUACGUCCUACGGGAGAAAGCAGGGGCUCUUCGGACCUUGCGCUAUUGGAUGUGCCUAUGUCGGAUUAGCUAGUUGGUGGGGUAAAGGCCUACCAAGGCGACGAUCCGUAGCUGGUCUGAGAGGAUGAUCAGCCACAUCGGGACUGAGACACGGCCCGAACUCCUACGGGAGGCAGCAGUGGGGAAUAUUGGACAAUGGGGGCAACCCUGAUCCAGCCAUGCCGCGUGUGUGAAGAAGGCUUUCGGGUUGUAAAGCACUUUCAGUGAGGAGGAAAACCUUAUGGUUAAUACCCAUGAGGCU
rnacentral:rRNA from 1 species